CGCGUAGGCGGUUUCUAAAGUCAGAUGUGAAAGCCCGGGGCUCAACCCCGGAAGUGCAUUUGAAACUUAGGAACUUGAGUAUGGGAGAGGGAAGUGGAAUUCCUGGUGUAGCGGUGAAAUGCGUAGAUAUCAGGAGGAACACCGGUGGCGAAGGCGACUUCCUGGACCAAUACUGACGCUGAGGCGCGAAGGCGCGGGGAGCAAACA
rnacentral:rRNA from 1 species